rnacentral:rRNA from 1 species
GGAGGAAAGCAGGGGAUCGCAAGACCUUGCGCUUUUGGAGCGGCCGAUGUCUGAUUAGCUAGUUGGUGGGGUAAAGGCUUACCAAGGCGUCGAUCAGUAGCUGGUCUGAGAGGACGACCAGCCACACUGGGACUGAGACACGGCCCAGACUCCUACGGGAGGCAGCAGUGGGGAAUUUUGGACAAUGGGGGAAACCCUGAUCCAGCCAUGCCGCGUGAGUGAAGAAGGCCUUCGGGUUGUAAAGCUCUUUCAGCCGGAACGAAACGGUCACGGCUAAUACCUGUGAUCACUGACGGUACCGGAAGAAGAAGCACCGGCUAACUACGUGCCAGCAGCCGCGGUAAUACGUAGGGUGCAAGCGUUAAUCGGAAUUACUGGGCGUAAAGCGUGCGCAGGCGGUUUUGUAAGUCAGAUGUGAAAUCCCCGGGCUUAACCUGGGAACUGCGUUUGAAACUACAAAGCUAG